GGCCGCGUAGCUCAGCUGGAUAGAGCAGCCGCCUUCUAAGCGGCAGGUCGAUGGUUCGAGCCCAUCCGCGGUCGCCA
rnacentral:tRNA from 1 species